rnacentral:rRNA from 1 species
CCUACGGGUGACAGCAGUGAGGAAUAUUGGUCAAUGGGCGCGAGCCUGAACCAGCCAAGUAGCGUGAAGGAUGACUGCCCUACGGGUUGUAAACUUCUUUUAUAAAGGAAUAAAGUGAGGCACGUGUGCCUUUUUGUAUGUACUUUAUGAAUAAGGAUCGGCUAACUCCGUGCCAGCAGCCGCGGUAAUACGUAGGGGGCAAGCGUUAUCCGGAUUUACUGGGUGUAAAGGGAGCGUAGAUGGCCUUUUAAGUCAGCGGUGAAAGUCUGUGGCUCAACCAUAGAAUUGCCGUUGAAACUGGGGGGCUUGAGUAUGUUUGAGGCAGGCGGAAUGCGUGGUGUAGCGGUGAAAUGCUUAGAUAUCACGCAGAACCCCGAUUGCGAAGGCAGCCUGCCAAGCCAUGACUGACGCUGAUGCACGAAAGCGUGGGGAUCAAACAGGAUUAGAUACCCGAGUAGUC